AAUUAUUACUUUGGCAGAUUAGUGCAAUAAAUUUAGAAUUUAUAAAUGUAAGUUUUACAAGUAAUA
rnacentral:tRNA from 3 species